AAACGAAGUGAAUUGAAAUAUCUUAAUAACUUCAGGAAAAAAAAUCAAAAGAGAUUUCUUAAGUAAUGUGAAUGAAACAGAAUAAGUCUCGUUUUUGUAUUUGGUCUUUUUCUUUUCCUUUAUUUUUGAUUGCUCUAGCAUUUUGUUAUUUAAAAAUUUAAUGCUUGCUUGUAAUACUAAACAAGCUUAGGUAAUUAUCAUAAAAAAAAAAAAGAAAAAGACACAUGCUUGUUAAACUAAACGAGCUGGUGUUACGUACAGAAAGGAAAAAGUAAAAUGGAGUGCAUAUCUGUUUGAAUGAAAGGGGAACCUUCCUCUAAGACUAAAUAUAAUAUAUAAGCGAUAGUGAGUAGUACCGUGAGGGAAAGGAUUGAAAUAGUAAUUUUAUAAGCAGCUCAAAAAUAAUUUAAAUAAACAAUGAGAGCGUACCUUUUGCAUAAUGGGUCAGCAAGUUAAUAUUCGAUGCGAGCUAUAAUGCAAAGAUAAAACAAUUAUGAUAUAAUGAUGUAGUAUCGAAAUUAGACCCGAAUCCUAGUGAUCUUACCAUGAUCAGGGUUAUAAAAGUCCGAACGGGUUAUCGUUGUAAAGAUAUCCGAGGAAUCAUGGUAAGUUAGUGAAAGACAAUACUGACUAGGAUAGCUGGUUUUCUGCGAAACCUAUAUAAGUAGGUAAUUUAAAUAGAAUAUCAGAAGGUACAGAAUUGUGAUCUCAUGCAACUAGUAUUUAUUUAUAUAUUAAUGAAAAAAUUACAGCUUGCUUGUGUGCUUAUAUUAGCUGACGCUACGUAAGUAUGCACGCAUGUAUGCCUUUUUCAGGCUAAUUUCUAAUAUAUAUAUAAAUAUACUUUUUGUGGACAUUGGGGGGUCGUGAAGACUCUAUCAGUGAGUAUUUGUUCUCGGAAGGACUAGAUAUGUAUAUUGAAUAAUCGGACAUAGUACGAUAAGGUUGUAUGUCUAAAGGGAAAUAGCCCAGAACAAGAGUUAAUAAGGUUCCAAAAUUUUUGUUAAGUGAAAUUAAGGCAGUAUUUAUCCCAAUCGGCCAGGGAAUAGGCUUAGAAGCGGCCAUUUUUUGAAGACCUCGUAACAGAGCACUGGUUUUCUAUUUUUUGGAUAAAAGCACCGAAAAUUUAACGGAUCUAAACAAAAUACCGAUACCUUGUCCAUAUAUAUUAAUGUGUAUAUUAUAUAUUGUAUAUAUGGGGUAGCGGAACAUUGGGUAGCCAUUUUUAAUCCUUUAUAAGGAUUAAUUUGCCUAGAGUUUAAUUUAUUAUUCCCUAGACUAAAUAAGCCCAAGUGAUAAUGCUGACAUGAGUAACGAUAAAGGAUCAUUAGGACAUAAAUGUCGUAAAAUCCUCGCCUAAAGCUUAUGGAAUUUAUUAAAGUUACGGCCUCUAAGUUUAUUUUUUCAUAGCUCAUGAUUAUCUAUAUAGUAUAUGUUUAUGAUCUACAUGUAAAUAGUCAAGAGUUAUGUCGAAUUACCUAAUGGUAUAGACGAUGAGAAAACCUAGAGUUUACAGUAAUUAACGUUUUUUUAUUUACGUAGUAACUAAAACUCCGUUUUUCCCCUUGAAUUGUUAUUUUAAUAAUCUAUUCUUAAAGGAAAAUGGAACCUGUUACUAAUAUUUUUAGUAAAUUAAGUGAAAAAUGUUCUGGAAAACUGUAGGCUCCGUAAGUAAUAUAGAAAAAGUAAACAAAUUAUAUUGUAAUCUUACGCUAUAAUACCGUACCUAAAUACUAACACAAGUGAGCAAGUAGAGAAUACGAAGGCGUUCGAGCUAACAAUCAUUAAGGAACUCGGCAAAUUGACUCUCGUAACUUCGGGAUAAGGUGGACCAUUUCUUCUGAUUAAUAUCAGGCAAGAAAGAGGAGGCAUAGAAUGGUGUUGUACGACUGUUUAAUUAAAACAAAGCACGCUGCGAAGAAAGAAAUUCGAUGUAUUGAGUGUGAUCUCUGCCCGAUGGCGGCUGGUUAACUAAUUUGCUUAGUUAAAUCAAAUAAGCUAGGCUUUGAUGGAAACCCCGUUCAAUGGCGGCCUUACCUAUAAGGGUCCUAAGGUAGCGUAAUACCUUGGCCGUUAAAUGCGGUCUUGCAUGAAUGAUGUAACGAUACAACAGCUGUCUCUAUGAUUGGCUCGGUGAAAUUGGAAUAACUGUGCAGAUACAGUUUACCUUUAGUUGGACGAGAAGACCCUAUGCAGCUUUACUGUUGCUAGUUACCGAAUAUGAUAUAAUGAGUUGUAGUGUAUAAGGUAAUUAAUAUAGAAUUGAAACACCUUUACUUCAUUUAUCAUAUUAUAUAAACCUUACAAGCAAAUUGCCAGUAAAGUUAAUAAAUAUCAUUACUGGUUGUAAGAUUUGAUAGGAACAAUUGCUAGGUGGCAGUUUAUGCGGGGCACAGAUCCCAUAAAGAGUACCUGGGAGUAUCCAAAGACGUUUUUUUUAGAUUGCUAUUUGCAAUUUAAUGUGAAUUUUUAUUAGUAUAUUUACUUAUCAAGUUUAACGGCUUAAUCUUGCUUUACUGUUUGACUUACAUGUUUUUCAGUUGCGUAAGCAGGGCAUAUGAUCACAAGAUGCAGAAAGGAAAGGUCUUGGAUUAUUGAAAAAGUUACGCUAGGGAUAACAGGCUAAUCCCGCCAGAGAGUUCAAAUUGAGUGCGGGGUUUGGCACCUCGAUGUCGGCUUAGCUCAUCCACAUGAAUGUAGGAGUCAUGAAGGGUCCGACUGUUCGUCGAUUAAAGAGCUACAUGAGCUGGGUUAAAUACGUUGUAAGACAGUAUGGUUUCUAUCCUCUAGAGGAAGUUGGAAUAAAUUAAGGAUAGCCCCUUGUACGAGAGGAAUUGGGUAUAUUAACCUAUGGUUUACCUGUUGUUUGUAUUGCCAUAUUAUUGUAACUGAUAGAGAUAUUGUCUUUAUUUUGUUAUAGCCUCUGAGUCUAUAACCAAGAACGCAAUAUUCUAGGUGCCAUGGCUUAUGCUGGUAAUUACUUUUCACUAAAGUAAUAUUUACUUAGACAGUAAUAAAUUGAAACAGAAUAUAUGUCUAGUAAAAAGGCACGGCAGGAAAGCUACGUUAGUUAAUGAUAAGUGCUGAAUGCAUAUAGGCACGAAACAUACCUUAGGAUAUUCUCAUAUAUACGUAGUUUAAUACUACAAUUU
rnacentral:rRNA from 1 species